rnacentral:tRNA from 1 species
AUUCCUUUAGUAUUAAUAAGUACAGUUGACUUCCAAUCAAUCAGUUUCGGCAUAACCCGAAAAGGAAUA